rnacentral:rRNA from 1 species
UGGCGGCAUGCCUAACACAUGCAAGUCGAACGGAAACGGCAUUAACAAUCCCUUCGGGGUGCGUUUAUGGACGUCGAGUGGCGGACGGGUGAGUAACGCAUAGGAAUCUGCCCAUGUAGUGGGGGACAACCUGGGGAAACUCAGGCUAAUACCGCAUACGCCCUACGGGGGAAAGCGGAGGAUCUUCGGACUUCGCGCUAUUGGAUGAGCCUAUGUCAGAUUAGCUUGUUGGUGGGGUAACGGCCUACCAAGGCGACGAUCUGUAGCUGGUCUGAGAGGACGAUCAGCCACACUGGGACUGAGACACGGCCCAGACUCCUACGGGAGGCAGCAGUGGGGAAUAUUGCACAAUGGGCGCAAGCCUGAUGCAGCAAUGCCGCGUGUGUGAAGAAGGCCCGAGGGUUGUAAAGCACUUUCAGUAGGGAAGAAACAGUAACGGAAUAAUACCCGUUGCCUUGACGUUACCUACAGAAGAAGCACCGGCUAACUCUGUG